GACGAACGCUGGCGGCGUGCUUAACACAUGCAAGUCGAACGGAAAGGCCCUGCUUUUGUGGGGUGCUCGAGUGGCGAACGGGUGAGUAACACGUGAGUAACCUGCCCUUGACUUUGGGAUAACUUCAGGAAACUGGGGCUAAUACCGGAUAGGAGCUCCUGCUGCAUGGUGGGGGUUGGAAAGUUUCGGCGGUUGGGGAUGGACUCGCGGCUUAUCAGCUUGUUGGUGGGGUAGUGGCUUACCAAGGCUUUGACGGGUAGCCGGCCUGAGAGGGUGACCGGCCACAUUGGGACUGAGAUACGGCCCAGACUCCUACGGGAGGCAGCAGUGGGGAAUAUUGCACAAUGGGCGGAAGCCUGAUGCAGCAACGCCGCGUGCGGGAUGACGGCCUUCGGGUUGUAAACCGCUUUCGCCUGUGACGAAGCGUGAGUGACGGUAAUGGGUAAAGAAGCACCGGCUAACUACGUGCCAGCAGCCGCGGUGAUACGUAGGGUGCGAGCGUUGUCCGGAUUUAUUGGGCGUAAAGGGCUCGUAGGUGGUUGAUCGCGUCGGAAGUGUAAUCUUGGGGCUUAACCCUGAGCGUGCUUUCGAUACGGGUUGACUUGAGGAAGGUAGGGGAGAAUGGAAUUCCUGGUGGAGCGGUGGAAUGCGCAGAUAUCAGGAGGAACACCAGUGGCGAAGGCGGUUCUCUGGGCCUUUCCUGACGCUGAGGAGCGAAAGCGUGGGGAGCGAACAGGCUUAGAUACCCUGGUAGUCCACGCUGUAAACGGUGGGUACUAGGUGUGGGGUCCAUUCCACGGGUUCCGUGCCGUAGCUAACGCUUUAAGUACCCCGCCUGGGGGGUACGGCCGCAAGGCUAAAACUCAAAGGAAUUGACGGGGCCCCGCACAAGCGGCGGAGCAUGCGGAUUAAUUCGAUGCAACGCGUAGAACCUUACCUGGGUUUGACAUGGAUCGGGAGUGCUCAGAGAUGGGUGUGCCUCUUUUGGGGUCGGUUCACAGGUGGUGCAUGGCUGUCGUCAGCUCGUGUCGUGAGAUGUUGGGUUAAGUCCCGCAACGAGCGCAACCCUUGUUCACUGUUGCCAGCACGUUAUGGUGGGGACUCAGUGGAGACCGCCGGGGUCAACUCGGAGGAAGGUGGGGAUGGCGUCAAGUCAUCAUGCCCCUUAUGUCCAGGGCUUCACGCAUGCUACAAUGGCUGGUACAGAGAGUGGCGAGCCUGUGAGGGUGAGCGAAUCUCGGAAAGCCGGUCUCAGUUCGGAUUGGGGUCUGCAACUCGACCUCAUGAAGUCGGAGUCGCUAGUAAUCGCAGAUCAGCAACGCUGCGGUGAAUACGUUCCCGGG
rnacentral:rRNA from 1 species